AUGGUGGAGACAAAAAAACAUAUUGUCUAUCCCUUGGUUUAUCGACUUUUGAAGCUAGCACUAGUAUUGCCUGUUGCCACUGCUACAGUUGAGAGAUCUUUUUCAGCUAUGAGAAUUGUGAAGACAUAUUUGCGCAACCGUCUUGGUGAUGACUCCUUGAAGUACAACCUUAUUUGUUAUGUGGAGAAAAGCGAAAUGAGGAAGGUUACUAAUGAUGCGGUAAUUGAUCGUUUUGAAGCCAUGAAAGAACGUAGGAAACCAUUUUAG
rnacentral:rRNA from 1 species